CCGUGGUCAAUCGACGGCUCGUCUGAAAUGCUUCAGUGUACCCCGCUUUGCGGCGUAUUCGGUGUGAUAAAUCUUCACCGGAGUUGAUCCUUUUGGGUCGCGUCUGUAAUGAGUGUGGCUCUAUGCUUCCAACUGUCUGCCAAGUGGACAAUCUCUGACAAUUUGACCUCAAAUCGGGUGGGACUACCCGCUGAACUUAG
rnacentral:misc_RNA from 1 species